rnacentral:tRNA from 1 species
GUGGGCGAGGUGUCAACGGCGGCACGCGACCAUGCCACGGUCGAGGAGCGGGUUCGACUCCCGCCGCUCACUCCG